UUUAACUUAACACUUCGGAGAGAUGGACCCCAUCGCGCCUAUAAUAACCUGGAAGCAUGUCUUCCAACUCCCUGUGCCGAAUUACAACCCCUCCCUACCGCUUCACAUACGCUGCCAUUACCUUAUUGACCUUUCCCUUAAUUUUCGCCACCUAAGAGGGAUUCCGCGCGUGUCGCCAGUAAAACCUCAGAACCAUCUCCGAC